UACGAAGGGGCUAGCGUUGCUCGGAAUCACUGGGCGUAAAGCGCACGUAGGCGGAUUGCUAAGUCAGGGGUGAAAUCCUGGAGCUCAACUCCAGAACUGCCUUUGAUACUGGCGAUCUCGAGUCCGGGAGAGGUGGAGUGGAACUGCGAGUGUAGAGGUGAAAUUCGUAGAUAUUCGCAAGAACACCAGUGGCGAAGGCGGCUCACUGGCCCGGUACUGACGCUGAGGUGACGGAAAGCG
rnacentral:rRNA from 1 species